rnacentral:tRNA from 1 species
UCCCUGGCAGCCUAGGGGUUAGGAUUCAGCAUUUCCACUGCUGCAGCCCAGGUUCAAUCCCUGGUCUGGGAA